UUGAUUUAAAUUAUUGUACGUCUACAUUUUGAAAAUUGAACCUACACAAAGUGGUGAGAUAUACAUUGAUUUUAUGCAA
rnacentral:pre_miRNA from 1 species